AGUUGAUUAAAACGUGUCCAUGCCCAUAUUCCAUCACUUUCUCCCAUUCUCUCAAUGCAUUCAAGACGAAAACCAAAGAGUGCAUUUAUGUCAGCAGCUUCAUGGUUUCCACGAAUCAGAUGAACAUUCUCAGGAUGCUCAAUCUUAAGAGCAAGAAGCAAAGUUAUAGUCUCUAAACUGUGCUGCCCUCGAUCAACAUAGUCUCCCAAAAACAAAUAGUCAAUGUACGUGAUGUCUCCUGCAGUGGAAGGAAAUCCAUA
rnacentral:misc_RNA from 1 species